UACGUAGGGGGCGAGCGUUGUCCGGAUUUAUUGGGCGUAAAAGGCUUGUAGGUGGCCACGUCAAGUCGGAUGUGAAAUCUCCCGGCUCAACUGGGCGGGGUCGGCGGAUACGGCGUGGCUGGAGCAAGCUAGGGGGCAAUGGAAUUCCCGGUGUAGUGGUGGAAUGCGUAGAUAUCGGGAGGAACACCAGUGGCGAAGGCGGUUGCCUGGAGCUUUGCUGACGCUGAGGCGCGAAAGCGUGGGGAGCGAUCCGG
rnacentral:rRNA from 1 species